CUGAUACCAACUGUCACGGGGGAAGAUUUUGCUAACCCAAAACCAGCUCCCAACACUCGUGCAGCACUUGUUCUCUCAACAAGUCAGCCUCUCAAACUGUCCCUAGGAUCUCACGGAAACCAAUCUUACACUAGUCACCCAAAGAUCACGGCAACCAAUUCAAAGACAAAGUGUCUCAAGGAUCCUCACGGCAACAACCCAACACAAAGUGUCCCAAUGGCCGAAUCCAACUCAAGCAACAAGCAACCAAUCUCACGCAAGGCAACACAACAAUGCGCAACACUCAACAACCAUCAAAACACACAACAACCAUGCAAGCCAUACACAAACAAGCAAGCAUAAAGAAAAGUAGAAGCAUAGAGAAAUAAGGCAAAAGGGCUACUUCUUGUGUUGCUCAAAAGAUUGGUGACCCAAGGGGUUGGGACCAAUCCUCACCCUACUCUCACAACCCCUACGGCAAGGGUGGAGGUACUCAAGCCAAGCGCAGCCAAGGGAAAAGGAAGGGCUAGGGAGAAAAACUUCCACAGCCUGAAGGAGAACCGAAGAGGUGAAAGGCCAGUGUUGAAGCGUUUUCGGUGCAGGGGACCGCACA
rnacentral:misc_RNA from 1 species